rnacentral:misc_RNA from 1 species
UCUCCGUUGGUGAACCAGCGGAGGGAUCAUUACAGGAACUCGCAAGACUCCUAACCCACUGUGAACCUACCCGACGUUGCCUCGGCGGGCGCCCGGCCUCGCGCCGGGCACCAAGCCCGCCGGCGGCCCCCUACUCUGUCUCUGCAGCGUUGUGUCUCCGAGUAUACCAAAACAAGUCAAAACUUUCAACAACGGAUCUCUUGGCUCCA